rnacentral:hammerhead_ribozyme from 1 species
ACCCAGCUGACGAGUCCCAAAUGGGACGAAACGCGCGUUCUGUAU